ACAGGAAGUGUCAGUUGCGAGUCGUUGAUGAGAGAAUACACAUUUUUAAUCUUAUAUAUAUUUUAAACCAAAUCCAUGAUUUUGUCAGGAUCUGGACCAGCAGAUAAAUUUAGAAUCUACUAGUUAAUUGACACAGAUCAGCUCUCAGCUGGAAGGACCUCCUUGGGUUGAGACUCUGGCUGCUCAUUUGCGUCAUUGAGCAGAUCAACAUCCAGUCCCAUGACUAUGGAGACACUGUAGCUCUUCAAGUCUUCUGGCAGAAACCCAGAAUAAGAGAUGUGUUUGGACCGUUACACCCAGAGAUGUGUGGACAGACAUUGGCUGUAAUGAUGGUCAUCUGCUCAUGGAUGGGUAA